rnacentral:rRNA from 1 species
GACGAACCGUGCGAACGUUGUUCGGAUUUACUGGGCGUAAAGGGCGCGUAGGCGGCUUGACAAGUCACUUGUGAAAUCUCCGGGCUUAACUCGGAACGGCCAAGUGAAACUGUCAUGCUAGAGUGCAGAAGGGGCAAUCGGAAUUCUUGGUGUAGCGGUGAAAUGCGUAGAUAUCAAGAGGAACACCUGAGGUGAAGACGGGUUGCUGGGCUGACACUGACGCUGAGGCGCGAAAGCCAGGGGAGCAAACGGG